GACAGAGGAUGCAAGCGUUAUCCGGAAUGAUUGGGCGUAAAGCGUCUGUAGGUGGCUUUUCAAGUCCGCCGUCAAAUCCCAGGGCUCAACCCUGGACAGGCGGUGGAAACUACCAAGCUGGAGUACGGUAGGGGCAGAGGGAAUUUCCGGUGGAGCGGUGAAAUGCAUUGAGAUCGGGAGGAACACCGGUGGCGAAGGCGGGUCUCUGGUCCAGUACUGACACUCAAGUGCGAAAGCGUGGGGAGCAAACAGG
rnacentral:rRNA from 1 species